rnacentral:rRNA from 1 species
UACGUAGGGGGCAAGCGUUGUCCGGAAUCAUUGGGCGUAAAGCGCGUGUAGGCGGCCCGAUAAGUCCGCUGUGAAAGUCCAGGGCUCAACCCUGGAAUGCCGGUGGAUACUGUCGGGCUCGAGUCCGGAAGAGGCGAGUGGAAUUCCGUGGUGUAGCGGUGAAAUGACGCAGAUAUCAGGAGGAACACCAAUGGCGAAGGCAGCUCGCUGGGACGGUACUGACGCUGAGACGCGAAAGUGUGGGGAGCGAACAGG